ensembl:lncRNA
CCCAAGGGCACAGCUCCGUGGCAGAGAGCAGAUCUCAGCCAUGCUGCAUGAGGGGUUGGGGACAGCAGGACCCAAGUGAGCUGCCUUCAGCCCUGCCCAGCAGCAAGCAUCCUUCCCUCAGUGGAGAUAUGGCUAAUGGCAGCUUAGCUGUAAUGCUGCAUUUCUGCAUCACUGAAGCUCCAAGCCUCCCCCUGCACCCCAGAUUCCUCCGUCUGGUUCUCAGCUUAUCCUCAGCACACUGGUUUUGAAGAAAAUGCUGGCAAUCAAUGGAAAAAUUGUUUGCAGGACAAAAUUUAACUCCCACAUGGUAUGAAAUGCGUCUGCAAAUGGGCACAGCCAGGGCAUUCUCACAGGCUGUCU